UGGUCAGCAGCUGCCGCGAGCCUCUG
rnacentral:misc_RNA from 1 species